UGCUCCUUUGACGUUAGCGGCGGACGGGUGAGUAACACGUGGGUAACCUACCUAUAAGACUGGGACAACUUCGGGAAACCGGAGCUAAUACCGGAUAAUAUGUUGAACCGCAUGGUUCAAUAGUGAAAGAUGGUUUUGCUAUCACUUAUAGAUGGACCCGCGCCGUAUUAGCUAGUUGGUGAGGUAACGGCUCACCAAGGCAACGAUACGUAGCCGACCUGAGAGGGUGAUCGGCCACACUGGAACUGAGACACGGUCCAGACUCCUACGGGAGGCAGCAGUAGGGAAUCUUCCGCAAUGGGCGAAAGCCUGACGGAGCAACGCCGCGUGAGUGAUGAAGGUCUUAGGAUCGUAAAACUCUGUUAUUAGGGAAGAACAAACGUGUAAGUAACUGUGCACGUCUUGACGGUACCUAAUCAGAAAGCCACGGCUAACUACGUGCCAGCAGCCGCGGUAAUACGUAGGUGGCAAGCGUUAUCCGGAAUUAUUGGGCGUAAAGCGCGCGUAGGCGGUUUUUUAAGUGCUGAUGUGAAAGCCCACGGCUCAACCGUGGAGGGUCAUUGGAAACUGGAAAACUUGAGUGCAGAAGAGGAAAUGUGGAAUUCCAUGUGUAUCNGGUGAAAUGCGCAGAGAUAUGGAGGAACACCAGUGGCGAAGGCGACUUUCUGGUCUGUAACUGACGCUGAUGUGCGUAAAGCGUGGGGAUCAAACAGGAUUAGAUACCCUGGUAGUCCACGCCGUAAACGAUGAGUGCUAAGUGUUAGGGGGUUUCCGCCCCUUAG
rnacentral:rRNA from 1 species